GGAAACCGGAGCACCCGGAGAAAACCAACACAAGUCACAGGAACGUACAAACUGAACAAACUGCACCCGUAGUUAGGAUCAAACCCAGGUCUCUGGGGCUGUAAGACAGCAACUGUA